rnacentral:rRNA from 1 species
UUGCCAGACUCCUACGGGAGGCAGCAGUGAGGAAUAUUGGUCAAUGGGCGCGAGCCUGAACCAGCCAAGUCGCGUGAGGGAAGACGGUCCUAUGGAUUGUAAACCUCUUUUGUCGGGGAGCAAAAGACGCCACGCGUGGCGUUCCGAGAGUACCCGAAGAAAAAGCAUCGGCUAACUCCGUGCCAGCAGCCGCGGUAAUACGGAGGAUGCGAGCGUUAUCCGGAUUUAUUGGGUUUAAAGGGUGCGUAGGCGGACAGUCAAGUCAGCGGUAAAAAUGCGGUGCUCAACGCCGUACAGCCGUUGAAACUGGCAGUCUUGAGUGGGCGAGAAGUAUGCGGAAUGCGUGGUGUAGCGGUGAAAUGCAUAGAUAUCACGCAGAACUCCGAUUGCGAAGGCAGCAUACCGGCGCCCGACUGACGCUGAGGCACGAAAGCGUGGGUAUCGAACAGGAUUAGAUACCCGAGUACC